ACUCUGAAAAAGAAAUGAAAAUCCACUUAGUCAAUGCUACUUUAGAAAUAUUAGUCUCAUGAGCUGACGUUAAGCACACCUUACCAGAUGGAUCUCAUGAACUCAUAAAUUCAAUUCAUAAUUACAGGUCAUCUUUUAUAUUUUUUUGUUUGGUUGGUUUUUUUAUUUUUGUCUUAUAAGACAUCUUCUAGCACCAGGUUUCUGAACAUUUUAAGGCUUUUUGCAGUUUUAUUACACAUCUAUCACCGACUGAUGUUUUCUAGUCAACAACGUGAUUACUCAACUUCUAUUUUGAUCAGCAUGUUUUUUACCAGGCGAAAUCCUUACCACAGAUGUCUACAUUAUUAUUAUUAAACAUAAAUCAAGUUUUCAUACAAUCAACAUUUUGGAUAAAUACAGCCAUAGAAUUUUACAGAUUUAUUAUUUGUGAGACUAAAAGUGUCUUCAAUUACAUGAAAACUUAAACUGCGUGUGCACAAAUGCACACAUAUAUUUGUGUGAUAUAAAGUUGUUGUUUUUUUUAAAUUCACAGUGAAAGUACUCUAAGACUCCUCAAAGUUUUCAAAACUUUCUUUUCUUCACAUUAGGAAGAUAAUUACCAGAUUCAACAGAAUUGGUCAUAAAUCCUGAGUGUUUUUUCAAAUUCUAAACAACCAUUAAGUUCUUCCACUAGUUUGCCUGAGGGAGUCAGUAGUAUUUCCUUUAAAGCCAUACUGAAGGAAUCAGAUUAUACUACUUUCUCUCCUCCUUCUGGGUUCCACAAUUAAAAGUCUAUAGUUGUCUAUAUAACCCCCUAAAUUACAUUCACUAAAACAGGAACAUUUUUAAAACAGAAUUUUUAAGCUUUGUUGCAAUGGGCUUCAGCUCAUUUUGCCAACAGCCACAUUUGUGAAAUGUAACCAAAGCUACACAAGGAAGUUGAUCAUCGAUAUUACAACUUUAUUAGCAUUUACUAAACUUUUAUAAAAGGUAACAAUAGCAAAUUUUUACAUCAGCUGUAUGCUUGUACGUGGUACCAACAGGCCCAUUCUUAGGCCCUGCAGAGCAUGUGCGGGGUCCUCGAAGCCACAAUUUUAAUAAAAAGUGUGGGGCCCUUGAUGACUUAAAAGAGCAGGGCCUUAGGCAGAUGACUCCUCGGCCUACCCCUAAGCACGGCCCUGAGUACGAUAUUCACAAAGCCAUAGCCUACAUACAUGUAAAUCCAAUGCUAGACUGGAUAAACUGCACAUACCCAUUUUAACUUGCCCUAGACCUUGCAUUUUGAAGGGGAAAAGACCCAGUUUACAAACCACAAAGCCUUUUCACACAGCUUUAAUUUGCAUAAAUAAAUAAUCAUAUUUAAAUCAGUAGUCAAUGUAGUCUACUAUCUCCCGUGGAGAAAUGAGCACUAAUUACAAAUGUUUAAGUCCAGAGGAAGAACGUACUUUGGAUAUAAUCAAUACAAAUGAAACAUUAUGCAGGAUCAGAAGCAUUUUCUGACUGGCAAACAUAAAACAUAAUGAAUGCGGUAGCACACAUAUGUGAUGCCUUCUGUAUGUCAUUACUGACACCUGCAAGUGGAUGCUUGUAUUCUAUACCUGAUGUACCUGAACAGGAAAAAGUCUGAUGAGUUAUUUGAAUCCAUGGUCAGAUAGUCAAUAGACAGACGAGUCGUCCGAACAUUUCCGGAGUAUCGGGAUCAUCCUGAUGGCGUCCACAGCAAAGAAACGGAGUAGCGGGACUGCUUUGUUACACGAUUAACUGCAGGAAUUCUUGCUACAAAUGUUCAGGAAAGUAUUUUUCCGCUUCUCGAAGCACAAAGCAAAGCAAGGACCUGAAUUUCUAUUACUCGCUUUAUUUUGAAUUGCAGUCGUUGCUUUUAACUAAGAUCUUGGUGAAAAUUCGUCUGCUACACUUAGGUACAUGACGAUUGUUUACAUUUAAUCGCGAAGGAAUAUGCACAGUUGUGAUGGCUUUGCGAGUGUAAUUGCAUUGUGGAUGCAUGCCAUUACUGUUAGUAUAUUAUUCUUUUGAGGGCAAGAUUUUGUUAGUUGAUGCAUAAGUUUGGAAAAUUCGUCGAAAUUCGUUUUUCAUCCACUGUCUUGUCGAUCGCUACUGUUGUACUGUUUAGUAACGUCGAAGAAUGAGAAUUUUAAAAAGUGAGGAAGAAACAUUGAAAGGUUGAUAGAGCGGUUGUUAGUCAAGCUACAACAGUUGUUUCAUGGAUCUCAAUGCUUGGUUUUGUUUUUUCUUGUUCUUGGGUGUAAACAGUAAAGGUUUAGCUUUUAUCCUUUCUUGAUUUUUUUGUGUCGUCGUGCAGUUAGUGUAUUGUAGCACAUCCUCUAACAGUCAAAUAUUCCUUUACCCAUAGGUGCAAAGAUCGGAUCCAGAGGAUCAGGAGAAAGGAUACGAAGGAUGUAAAAAUAUUCUAUAAUUCAGAUUAUUUCCUGUGCAAUGACUUCUGUAGAGUGGUAUCACAAUCCAUUUGCUUUGUACCAGGCUGUCAUGUGCAGCUGGCAGAAUCAAAUGUCCUCUUUUACACUGUUGUGUAGCUUACAAAUUGUGGGUAAGGUUCGCAGUGAUUGUCAAGACAAGUUUACUGGGAAACUUUCUUGCGCACAGCACGAGCAGUUCCUGUCCUUGAAACAGUAUAUGCUUCACUGGAAGGCAGUCUCACAGUGCUAAGCACACAGUUGUUUCAUGUGAUUAAAGAGUUGGAGGAAACAUUCACAGACAGUGUGGAACACAUUCUGCACAUGGAUAAAGUGGUAGGAAAAUUAAUUAUGCAAGAUGAAACAGUUAUUUAUCUGCUCAUUUGACAGACCUUGCUCUUUGAACAAAAUGGUGAGACUUCUCUUCUUCAAUUUAUGUCUAAAGUUCAUGUUGAAAGAUGAUACAAGAUCUUUUGGAGAUCAGUGAGCAUAUAAAAAUAGGAAAUUGAUGAGAUAAACCAUCUCUAUGCCUCAGAAAAAAGCUUAAAAAUUCAGGUUAGUUUCUAGGUUGUAAAGCCCAUAUUUUUUUUUCCUCUCUAGCUUUUCCUCUUCCUUCCAAUAUGCUGGGUCUUGAUGUUUAAGAGGAUGCAGGUGAAUUUUUUUACUAUUUUAUUUUUGCUAACUUGUUCUAUGUCUUUGUUACUCUUUUGUGAUCUUGUUCAGCACAAUGAGUCCACCUUUGGCUGAGAUAUUGCGCUUUAUAACUUCCCACUUAUUAUUAUUAUGCAUUGUUAACUUUGGUGUGCGUGACAAUUUUUGAGCAAAUACUUUGCUUUCAAUAUAAAUUGUUAAACUGUAUGGAUGUCAGUUCAAAAAGUGAAAGUGGGGCUGGAUAGGACACACCCUGCACAAACCAGCUGACACCAUUGCCAGACAGGCAUUUGACUAGAACUCUCAAAGAAAAAGGAGAGCUGGGAGGCCAAAGCAGACUUGGAAAAGAACAGUAGAGAACAAGGCAAAGGACGUCAUAACCACACAGGCCCAACUGAAGGGGUGCAGCCCAAAACCGGUCCUCUGGUGAGGUGUUGUUGGGGCCCUAUGAUCCUUGAGGAGUAACAAGGAUUAAACAAGUGGAUUUUCUUCUUUUAUUUUUCUUCAUUCGUUUCAUUUCUCUUUUUAGCUGAAAGGUUUAUGUUAAUAUUAUAUUAUAAUAUUAAUUUUUUUGCUUGUAAAUAAAUUUCUGCAUAGGUGUGUAAAUGUAACAUUUAAAUUUGUUUUUCCAUGAAUGAAGAGUGCAAUAAUGAUUACGCACAUGCAUAUUAGUGUAAAGAUAAAACAUGGUAAAUAAAUAAAAUGGAAUAGAGCGAGUAGCAGCACUAGAAAUAGAUAAGGUGGAGAGAUAUAAGCAACUAUGUAAGUCUUUGAUUAGAAUCAUAAUUCUUCUAGUUUUGACACAUUAAUGUUGCAACACACAUGAGAUGACACAGAGAAGCACACAAAGGUAUUAUCAUUCAGUUGCGGUCAUCACUGGACUUUGAUUUAUUCUGCAAAACCCCAACAAACAAUAUCACACAUCGUGUCGUUAUCUCCCUUGCUCCUGACUGUCGCAUGGAGUACUAGCAGCAACUUGUACCUUAUUUUUUAUAGGGGGACUAUGCCUUAAUUAUGACACAUCUUUCCAAUCUACAAUCUUUGGUUACACUGAAGUAGACUGGAGCUAUUUUGUCACAAUUGAUACACAGUGAAAUUCUUUUCAAAUUAAUUUUUUUGUAAUUUAUAAAACAUUUUUGAGAACUACAUAGUAUAAAAUCAAAGUCAAUGCUAAAGAACUAAAUAAAGAGGUCUAAAAAAAAGCAGCAUAUAUAAAA